CAGCCGCCGCGGUAAUACAGAGGGUGCAAGCGUUAAUCGGAAUUACUGGGCGUAAAGCGUGCGCAGACGGUUACAUAAGUCGGGUGUGAAAGCCCCGGGCUCAACCUGGGAAUUGCAUUCGAGACUGUGUAGCUAGGGUACGGAAGAGGGAAGCGGAAUUUCAGGUGUAGCGGUGAAAUGCGUAGAUAUCUGAAGGAACACCAGUGGCGAAAGCGGCUUCCUGGUCCAGUACCGACGUUCAGGCACGAAAGCGUGGGGAGCAAACAGGAUUAGAUACCCGCGUAGUCCCUGUCUCUUAUAC
rnacentral:rRNA from 1 species